GUGAUUUAAAGCAAUGAAUUAUCCUCUACACAGAUCGCGAAAUAGCCCCAAGUUAAUUCCAAACAGGAAGACUGAAUUAUCCAUCAGAUGAAAUCCCAAUCACAGACGUCGAACAGAAGAGAAAACCCGAAAGAAACGCCCGCAGCUCAAGAUGCAAAUGCUGAAAAUGGAUAAGAACAGGUGCCGCCAACACCAAGAACAAACAAGGUUAGUCCUUAAACCAAGAUUGAGUUUCACCGGACCAAGAAUUGAUCCUCGAUGUCUCAGAAAUACCAAAAGAAUUGAAGAACUCUAUUUAAUUUUGAGGGCUAUAAUACCAUGAUAAGAUUGUAGAAUUUUCAUUCCAUUAAAUAGAAAUUUUGUUCCUAAUUUCCGUCCCUAAUUACAGUCGAAAUAUUUCUAUCAAAUCUCCUAAUUUCCUCACUUUCCUGAUUACAACAUAAUCAUGUUUCUUAUAUAAGGAAAUAAAGACUAUUCUAUGUUUACAAUAUAAUUAUGUAAUGUGAGUGAUAUACUGACAAUUAGUACUGGAUGGGAAUCAGUAUCACCAAGACUUCGAUUUUUCUAAUCUCAAUUUCAAUGAUCUAUUCAAUCAGUGGUUUUGAAUUGGAACGCGCUAAAUUAAUUAAGUGGUAAAUUAGUCACCUGAUUCAUCAUGUUCAUGUGUUUGUUGUGAAAGUCCCAGUCAGUUUCUGUAGUUACAUUCUCUUAGGCAGUCCUUGAGAGGAAGAAACAAUCCCAGAUAGAUUUUUUCUUAAAAAUUUCUCUGUUCUCAAUGGAUGUGGCAGUUUAUCUAUUAAGUUCUAUUUCUUUGUGCUCCUUAUAUAGUUUAUGUCAAAUAAUCUACCCAAUAGAAUGAGACGCAGAUGAGUUAUACGCAAAUUAAUAGCAGAUGAGUUAUACGCAAAUUAAUAGCACCAUGGUGGGAAAUAGUCUUGUUCACCUGAAGAAUUCUGCUCUCGAUAUUACAGGUGAAAAAGUUCCAGAGAGCUUGUCUGAAAAAUCCUGUUAAGGUAUAUUAAUGCUUAUUCUUUUCUUGUCAUUUUUUUUGGGUAACUUCUCAGAGUAUGUUUGUGUUAAUUGUUUAAGUAUAAAUGCAGGUUGAAGCUACGUCCAAAUACUCAACUGUGUAUACGCUGAAGCAAAAGUUUUGCUUCAUUUUUUCAAAGCAUAAAGUCUGUAGAUUCCCCUGCUUCACAUUCCUUUUUGUGUGGUAUAUAUAAGAGACAGUUUACUGUUGUAUGACUUGCAAAAGAACUGCAUGAACAUUAAUUUGGUGAUUAUUGGAUUUUGUUCGGUUGGAUAGGGUGGAAAAAAUUGAAUCCACGCUUGUGGUAAAGAGUAUGUUAUUGCAUAUUGUGAGUCAAUGUUAGAUAAAGUGAAAGUUGCAAGAUAUUUCUUUUCUGAAUUAUUUCAUGUAGUUUUCUUCAGUUUCUGUACCUUAUAUUUUGCUGCAAGAUUGCUAUCUUGUUCAUAUUCUCACCAAGAUGUCAGGAAAGACAUCUAUGGUUUUUACUAGAACAUGUAAAUGUGAUGCAAAUCGUCUUUUGGGUGAGUGGUCAAAUGAGCCAGGUAUAUUUCAAAAAUCAUAUAGCAUUUUAUUCUAAGGUAAUUUAUUUUCAUCUACAUGAUAUUAUUUUUCUUGAUAAUUGUUUGCAGGAGAAAAGGACUUGGAGCCUUGAACAUAUUCAAAGAGGAAGAGUGCGAUGUACUUAUAUGCAAUGAUGUUGCCAGUAGAGGACUUGAUAUUCCUUCUGUAGAUAUGGUUAUCAAUUAUGAUAUCCCAAUGAACUCAAAGGUUAAGAUUUAUUCUGCAUGGUUUCGAUAAUGUUUCUUGUUCCAAAUGCGUCCCUUCGCCUGUAUACAAUUCUGAGUUCUCAUCUCCUGUUAACUGGCCAUUGAUAAUGCAAUUUAGAUUAUGUUUGGCUGCUUUUAUCUCUUCCUUUUAAUUAUCCGAUGUAAGUCCAAACCUCUGAUUAUAAUUUUUUCUCAGACUAGAGUAAAAAUAUAUAUAUAUAUAUAUAUUUUUUUUCAUUUUUUUAUUUUUAAAAAAAAAUAAAUUAGUUGAUAGAAUUGCAUGAAACUCGAGUAACAUGAAAACUGAUUACAGGAUAAGUCCAUCCCUUUUUCUCACACUAGAGCAGAAAUGAGUUUCAUUCUUUAGUUAUAUGGAAGAGAAUAGAAUGAUACUCAUGAAGAAUAAUAAGAAAACCAUAAUUAGGGGAUAAAUCAAUCCAGCUAUGCUUCACACUCUAUCAAGCUAAAUAACCAAAUAAUUAUCACAUCUUUGAUCCAUAAGCAUGUCAAAACCUGAUGGGAUUAUGAUGGGGAUGUUUGAUUUUCUCCAUUAUUCUUGCCUUGCAUGAGGUUAGAACAACUUCCUUCUGGAUCAAAUUUCAAUGUGCAAUGGAGUUAUUGCUAAGUAUGUGUUGAAUGUUAUAAUGAUAUAAUGUGCAAUGCUUGAAUUUCAAAUUGUUCUUCAAGGUUUCUUCUGGCAUGUCCUCUCUUUACUAGCCCUUGCAUUUUACUAUUUUCAUGAAAAGUCUCGCAACUUCUCACUUCCUUUGGUCUGUUCUUUUUCCCCCUUCUGAUGAUGUUUGUUAAGAGUCAUAAUAUUCUAUCAUCCAGAUAUUAAUAUGAGGCUAAGAAGAUAAUGCCUCGCUAGAAUGUUACAAAUAGAAUGUUACAGAGGCCAAAAGAAUAUCGAAGAUGGUAUGUAUAGACUUUUCUCUUCAUCUGACGAAGAGUAAUAUAGUUUUUGCUUGAUUGAAAUAUUGGUUUUCAUUCCCUUUUGUUGAACUGUGAUUUUCUAGGCUAUAAAUUUGCUUUUAUUUUCUUCAAACUUUUGCUGAAAAUCAAAGAAACCAGAGGCUAGAAGACACGAAAACAAGAUGAUGAUAACGCAGAGGACACUGAUAAAUAUUUAGGUCUCAAGAAAACGAAGUCAUUUGAGAAAUGAAAGAGAAGAUAACAGAAGGAUUUUCUGUCAAGUUUUGUUCAAAUUAGGACUAGUCAAUUUUAUAGUUAUUCAUAAUUUUGUUUUUCUCGUGAGAGUUUGUAACACAAUUUUGAUUAUGAUUUUUUAUGGUAUAUAUGAUUUUGCCUUUAUUACCAAAUUUCUCCUCCUAAUGUUGUCAUAUUAUCAUGUAUUUUCGAGCUACUGACAUUCUGUUUUAGACAGGAGCUGUAGUUCUUGUCACUCAGAACUAAGAGAUUUGUAUUUAAUAUGGCUCUUGGAUUACAUGCAGUGUUUUAAAAGGUGAGUCUAGGAGGCGCCGAGGCAUCAACUAGGCACGAUGCGUGGCGGAAAUACCAAGUCAAGUGGAUUGGUGCCUUAUUUACCAACCGCUGAUAGAUAAUGCAUGCCUAGGCAUGAUUAUGCGCACUUUAUUAUCUUUCUUUUUUUUAUUCUUAAUAAUUCUUUUAAUUUAAAACUUAAAUGCUGAUUUCAUCAUUUUAUUUACUCUAAAUUCAAAAUUGCUGCUUGA
rnacentral:lncRNA from 1 species